CAUUGUACCAGCUUGUUUGUCCAAAAGGCAACAGAACUUCAAAGCCACGAGGUGUCUGCCUUUCUUCCAAUCAAGUAGACUCUACUAGUCAUCCGUAGAGAUGCACGAUCUUGGAGCGUUUCCUUGUAUUUAAGCUGAGGAAAGGGAGAAUAUGCCCAGCCCCAUUUCAAGCUGUCAUCAUGAACAGUGGAGGAGUGGAUUUGCCAAACAGCUGUCAGAGCUGACACCAGGCAGUGUCAGCAGUGGGGCUGGAGCUACCUUUGGUGGAACGACUUUCCUCUUGCUCAACUCCUGGGUUCCCUCCUACUGUUGUGAACCAAAGAUGCAGAUGGCAAGGGAAACAGAUCAGCAAAGAGGCCCAAAGAAGCAAAGAAACUUGCCCAGGAUCACAC